rnacentral:misc_RNA from 1 species
AACGCACAUUGCGCCCCUUGGCAUUCCGAAGGGCAUGCCUGUUCGAGCGUCAUGAUCAAAUCUCAAGCCUUGCUUGGUAUUGGGUCUUCGUCUCCCUCGUCUUUGUACGGGUAUUGACGUGCCUGAAAAUCAAUGGCAGUGCCUUAUUAGACUCAAGCGUAACAGACUGACACGCUUUAGAGAACUUUUGUAGGUCCUGUCAAUAAAAUAACAAGUUUGGACCUCGGAUCAGGUAGGGAUACCCGCUGAACUUAA